rnacentral:rRNA from 1 species
CCUACGGGAGGCAGCAGUGGGGAAUAUUGGACAAUGGGCGAAAGCCUGAUCCAGCCAUGCCGCGUGUGUGAAGAAGGCCUUCGGGUUGUAAAGCACUUUCAGUGGGGAAGAAAGCCUUGGGGCUAAUACCCUCGAGGAAGGACAUCACCCACAGAAGAAGCACCGGCUAACUCCGUGCCAGCAGCCGCGGUAAUACGGAGGGUGCGAGCGUUAAUCGGAAUUACUGGGCGUAAAGCGCGCGUAGGCGGUCUGAUAAGCCGGUUGUGAAAGCCCCGGGCUCAACCUGGGAACGGCAUCCGGAACUGUCAGGCUAGAGUGCAGGAGAGGAAGGUAGAAUCCCCGGUGUAGCGGUGAAAUGCGUAGAGAUCGGGAGGAAUCCCAGUGGCGAAGGCGGCCUUCUGGACUGACACUGACGCUGGGGUGCGAAAGCGUGGGUAGCAAACAGGAAUAGAUACCCGUUAGU